GAGUUUGAUCGUGGCUCAGGAUGAACGCUGGCGGCGUGCCUAAUACGUGCAAGUCGAGCGAACGGACGAGAAGCUUGCUUCUCUGAUGCUAGCGGCGGACGGGUGAGUAACACGUGGAUAACCUACCUAUAAGACUGGGAUAACUUCGGGAAACCGGAGCUAAUACCGGAUAAUAUUUUGAACCGCAUGGUUCAAAAGUGAAAGACGGUCUUGCUGUCACUUAUAGAUGGAUCCGCGCUGCAUUAGCUAGUUGGUAAGGUAACGGCUUACCAAGGCAACGAUGCAUAGCCGACCUGAGAGGGUGAUCGGCCACACUGGAACUGAGGCACGGUCCAGACUCCUACGGGAGGCAGCAGUAGGGAAUCUUCCGCAAUGGGCGAAAGCCUGACGGAGCAACGCCGCGUGAGUGAUGAAGGUCUUCGGAUCGUAAAACUCUGUUAUUAGGGAAGAACAUAUGUGUAAGUAACUGUGCACAUCUUGACGGUACCUAAUCAGAAGGCCACGGCUAACUACGU
rnacentral:rRNA from 1 species